GGAACGUCGUUUUCGUUGGGCCUACCGCUUGGGUGUCGGUGGAACUGGAGGCGGCGCUGUUUGGGCUGUGGCCUGUGGGCGACUUGCCCUUUCCUUCCUCCGCGCAAGCUAUGUCGCCAUCGGUCUCUCCUCCCUCUUCCCAAAUCGCCGUCUCGGAUUCUGGCCUCCUCCACCCUAAUCAGCACAUCAAUCGCCAGCUCGCUCCCCUCUCACCCUCCUGUGCUGAUUACCCGCAGCUGCACGGACCUUCUGUCCCCAGGCCGCGGCCAACCCUACCGGGGCUCGGUUCGCUGAUAUGGCGGUCUGGCGGUCGUCGCCGCCACCUCCCACACCUCCUGCGACUGCAAGCACGCUCAUUUGCGUGACCUUUAUUCUUGCUCGUGUUCAUCAUCCGCCACUUCGACGCACUGGCCUCGAGUUGGGUCGCCAGUAGCCCAGUAUCCCCGGCAGGUACUGGCUACUGCUGAUUCCUCGACUAAUCUUCGGCUACUACCUCUUCAACUCUGAUCCUGGUAGGUACACCGGCCUCUCACUCUCUUCUUUCUGUACUCUGUUGUCCCCAGCCAUCAUGUCGUCAAGGUUCUGUGGCGGUUUUAGUGUCUUACUGUGGUGGUGAGCUCAACCCUCCAGUUGGAUUUCAGAAUCUCGGUGACCAGCUUCUUGAUUCAGUAUUUCAGUUAGCCCAUGGAGAGAUGGACGUUUGUGCAGGUGGGACUGUACCUAUUGCAACCAAAGAGACUGUCAACAGUAAAUUCGUUUGGGUACCAAUAUCGAAUGGGAGUGUUGACUACUGGUUUGUUUGGGUACUGAAAUCAAGGGCCAUGGGUUACUUUAUUUGAGGACUGGAAUCAAAUGAUAUUGAUAGGAGGAGUACUGAUUGUUUGAUUUUCUUAGCAGGCCCCAGUGUUAAUCCCAUGAAGUGCUCAUAGCAGCUGGCAUUGUGCAGUAUGUCCUGCUUCACAUGAGGUUGGUUUAGAAUGAAUCCGACUAGACAUUCAGGGCGAUACUCUUACCUCUGCAUUUCCAUUACCUUUAACUGUCACACCACGCUUCGAUCUUGCCGUGGAAGUAGAGAGUAGUUUAGUUGAUAUAUUGAUUGCUACGUGAAGAGAUCAAUUGAUUAACUGAACGUAGUAACUGCUACCUUGUGAUAUCCUUGACAAAAUAUGAUGUUGGGGGACAAAUAGGAUAUGCUUGGCAAGUUGAUGUGGGAAGAGGAACCACAAGCUUCGCAGCAAACUCAAUGCCACACUGGAUUAAUGACAAAUUAGUUGCUUGGGGUUUUGUUAACUAGCAAGGAAAAAAUCAGGGCGGUGCUGGUAGUUCAGCAGUAGCGAACAAAAAUAUCACGAAGUAACUUGUUUCAAGAUCGCAUUAGUAACUUCAAGAAUGCACGUUGUUAUCUGUGAUAUGUGUUCUUGUGAUUAUGCAUACUAUAUAGUAUAUAAGUAUCAUGAUGCUCCUUGCGCUUCUAGCUAGAUGUUAUCCUUUCAGGUUCUCUACUUUGUUGAUGCAUCUAUACUUUACUUCCAUGUUACGAUAUGAUGUGUCAUGUUGGAGCUUGCGAUGUCUGCAUAGCUGGACCUCAACAAUUGUAAUAUUUGUCUGAGAGAAAGAUGAAUUGCUUGUGAGAGUUUGUGCAUGUAAACUGGGUGUGCUGUCAUUCAGGUUGGAUUCGUGGUGUGGCAGCAUUGGUUCCAUGCAUCGGCUGUUGUCCCCAUCCUCCUGCCUUUCUUGCCGCUUGGCUAUGAUCCCAAGUCUCGCUUUAUGCACAUCCUCAGGCCUCUAGCCAAGCUUGUGAGUCGCUGGAUGGCCUUCUGCUGCAUGUGCUGAAUAAGCUUCUGGAUGGCCCUCCGCUACUUAUUCUCCAAACUACCACAAAGGUUCUGCACCUUCCUUGAGUCCCUGCACAACAACCAGAAGUUCUACAACCACCGAUAUCUGCAAGAAUAGCACGCUUCCGUAAAUUCUGCAUUGGUAACUCCUCACAUAUAUUACCAGUGACUCGGAUGGCUAAAUAAACAUCAAACAUAUAUAGAUAUACUCUAGCCAUACUUUGUGGUCUAUGCAUCAGAGCUUUCCUUGAUAUUACAAGUUAUUGUGCAACCUUUGCAAUUUUUUCACACGGUCAUAAUGUGAGCCGUUGUAGCAAACUAAAAUAGUUUGGUAAAACGGCUUACAUUAUUGAACGGAGGAUAUAGUUCUUGUUUUCUUAGGUUUUGUGAUGUACAUCCGCAACAAAAAAAAAUUACGUUCAGUCCGAAAUUUGUAUCUUUUGUCCAUAGUGAAGUUGAUCUUUUUGUAUAUUUGAUGAAUUUUUUUUUGCUCUUUGGGUUUCAUACUUCGAUUGACAUAGAUUUGUGUUUAGAUACGAUUGUGCAGGUUGAGGCGGUUGUUAUUGAGGGGGAUAGUGUAUUGUGGCGGAGGUACCUGGAGCUGCAAAAGCAUUGUGAGUGAAUACUGCAACUUACUUAUCUCUUCGGCCCUUUUUCUUCCUUACAGCAAGAAACAAGGUCAAUGCGGGCAAGAACGAUAAAUCUGUUGAUGAUGUAUGUGCUUUGAUUCUGAAACACUUUACUGAAUUUUCUGUGGAGAAGCUUCAGCAGCCGGUUGUGGUUUCUUUAAUUGAGAAGCCAUUUUCUAAACCUCUUGAGGGUGCUGUCAAGUUAAUUUUGGUGCAGCAUUCUAUGACAGCUCUGGAACUGGUGCUUGGGGUUUCAUUGCUAGAACUGACCAGGGAGAAGCCAUUGGGGCUGGAGCCGAAGCAUGUGUUGCUGCUGUCGAAGCAACUGCUGAUCUGGGUAUACUUAAGGUCAUCUUUGAAUAUGAUUCAGAAAUCCUUGUGAGUGCGCUGAAGUCUACGUGCUAUGAUUUUUCUAGCAUUGGCAUUCUGGUCCGAGAAGCAAGAUGCACAUGCAUCGUCACUUUUGAUUUUUGUGAUUUUGUUCACUGUGGCCUUGCCCAUACCAUUGCUGAUUAUGGUUAUACGUGUAGAACAUAGCUUCUACAGAUGAUCACUUUAUCCUGCUACAAGAUGUAAGGGAAUUCUACCGCGACUGUCCUGCAGUGCAUCAACUGAUUGAUUAUUUCCCCAAUAACAUAACAGCGGCACCCACUAAAAUUAUCGGAUGAAGCCAAAAAUGCGCACACCGCACGAAGAAACAAAAUGCGAACAUCAGAAAACGGCGCAGCAAAGCGCGCAAGGUCCUUCUAGUUUUCACGAUGCCAGAAGAGGAGACGACGUACCACGGGACACCACCUCUAGAGAUUUAAUAUAGUAGAGAUAAGAAGGGAAAAGAUAAUAUUGUUGUUGAUGCUCUA